rnacentral:rRNA from 1 species
AGAGCGAACGCUGGCGGCAGGCCUAAUACAUGCAAGUCGAACGGAUCCUUCGGGAUUAGUGGCGGACGGGUGAGUAACACGUGGGAACGUGCCCUUUGGUUCGGAACAACUCAGGGAAACUUGAGCUAAUACCGAAUGUGCCCUUCGGGGGAAAGAUUUAUCGCCAUUGGAGCGGCCCGCGUCUGAUUAGCUAGUUGGUGAGGUAAAGGCUCACCAAGGCGACGAUCAGUAGCUGGUCUGAGAGGAUGAUCAGCCACACUGGGACUGAGACACGGCCCAGACUCCUACGGGAGGCAGCAGUAGGGAAUCUUGCGCAAUGGGCGAAAGCCUGACGCAGCCAUGCCGCGUGAAUGAUGAAGGUCUUAGGAUUGUAAAAUUCUUUCAGCGGGACGAUAAUGACGGUACCGCAGAAGAACGCCCGGCUAACUUCGCGCCAGCAGCCGAC